rnacentral:rRNA from 1 species
GCCGACUUCCAUGGCCACCGUCCUGCUGUCUUUAGUUACUAACGCCUUUUGUGGGGUCCGAUAUGCGUUGAUUUUGGCACUAUAACUUUACGACCGGUUCAUCCCGCAUCGCCAGUUCUGCUUACCAAAAAUGGCCCACUAAAGGCCUUUACUAUCUAUCCACUUGCUACGUAGUCCGCUAGCGUAGUGGAAAACACACACAUUAACAGUUUGAGAAUAGGUUGAGAACGUUUCGAACCCAACGACUCUAAUCAUUCGCUUUACCGCAUGUGACUAUCAUCUACUAGACCUCAGCUAUCCUUAGGGAAACUUCGAAAGGAACCAGCUACUAGAUGGUUCGAUUGGUCUUUCGCCCCUAUACAUAAUUCUGAUGAUCGAUUUGCACGUCAGAACCAUUGCGGACCUCCACCAGAGUUUCCCCUGGCUUCAUCCUUUUCAUGCAUAGUUCACCAUCUUUCGGGUUCCAGAGCACGAGCUACGAGUACGGCAACGCCACCCAUUGCUGGAUGACGCAUAAUUGCCAUCUCCGAUUUGCCUAGACCAUAUAUAUAAUAAUAUAUUUGUUUAUAUAUAUUUUAUAAAUAAAAUAAUAAAAACGUGUGUGUCUCAUCAUACAAACAUACGAGCCGUGUAUAAAUACACGACACUCUCGAUUGCUUUCGUUAAGUUUGACGGAUUCUAUAUAAAUGAACCUUUGCGUCACGCUCGUUCGCUGGACUCCUUGGUCC